UACAGAGGUCUCAAGCGUUGUUCGGAUUCAUUGGGCGUAAAGGGUGCGUAGGUGGCGCCGUAAGUCGGGGGUGAAAUUUCGGAGCUUAACUCCGAAACUGCAUUCGAUACUGCGGUGCUUGAGGACUGGAGAGGAGACUGGAAUUCAUGGUGUAGCAGUGAAAUGCGUAGAGAUCAUGAGGAAGACCAGUGGCGAAGGCGGGUCUCUGGACAGUUCCUGACACUGAGGCACGAAGGCCAGGGGAGCAAACGGG
rnacentral:rRNA from 1 species